ensembl:snRNA U2 U2 spliceosomal RNA
AUCGCUUCUCGGCCUUUUGGCUAAGAUCAAGUGUAGUAUCUGUUCUUAUCAGUUUAAUAUCUGAUACGUCCCCUACCCGGGGACCAUAUAUUAAAUUGAUUUUUGGAGCAGGGAGAUGGAAUAGGGGCUUGCUCCGUCCACUCCACGCAUCGACCCGGUAUUGCAGUACCUCCGGGAACGGUGCACCCCCC